AAGUCGUAACAAGGUUUCCGUAGGUGAACCUGCGGAAGGAUCAUUAAUACGUACUUUCACGUAUCACUCAAUCGUGGACUUGUCCCGCUUUUUGUGGAGAGUUGGAGGCGAAAUUUGUGGUCAUAUUUUAACCAGCGUGGGGGAGAAUUGUGGCUUUACGGCUCCUUUCUCUUUGACCUGUUCGCCGAGGGUUAAUAAAUCGAAACGACUUUUUUGAUUGGAAAGACAAGUGCAGCUUGUUCUGUAUGCAUCUUCUGGUCAAUUUCGGUUGUUCUCGAUUCGACUCUUUACAAAGCGUUUUUUCUAAUCCAUGCUGGGAUCAAUUAUUUUACCCCAAGUACUAUUAUCAAGAACUAAUUGUGUUUUUUUGCUUCAUUGCGAAAAAACGCCAAAUACCGAAACUUAAGAACAACUCUUAACAACGGAUAUCUUGGUUCUC
rnacentral:misc_RNA from 1 species